AUGAAUGAUAAGGAGAUUUUUCCUUAGUCCCAACCUCCUCUGCAGAAAUGUUGACUUGGAUGCGUUGUGAUGUAUUCACAGCUUCAGAAACAUAUGGAAUUUGAAUCGAAAGGCAUUUGUCGUCAUUGAAACAAGUUAACUUCAAGAAGCAUGAUUUCAUGUCAACCUGAGAUGUCACUUCCACCCUUUGUCCCAAACUCAGGUUUGGUGACUUCUCCAAUGACAUAUAGAGUGAUU
rnacentral:misc_RNA from 1 species